AACAGGAUUAGAUACCCUGGUAGUCCACGCCGUAAACGAUGUCUACUAGCUGUUCGUGGUCUUGUACUGUGAGUAGCGCAGCUAACGCACUAAAGUAGACCGCCUGGGGAGUACGGUCGCAAGAUUAAAACUCAAAUGAAUUUGACGGGGGCCCGCACAAGCGGUGGAGCAUGUGGUUUAAUUCGACGCAACGCGAAGAACCUUACCUACUCUUGACAUCUACGGAAGACUGCAGAGAUGCGGUUGUGCCUUCGGGAACCGUAAGACAGGUGCUGCAUGGCUGUCGUCAGCUCGUGUUGUGAAAUGUUGGGUUAAGUCCCGCAACGAGCGCAACCCCUAUCCUUAGUUGCCAGCACGUUAUGGUGGGAACUCUAGGGAGACUGCCGGUGAUAAACCGGAGGAAGGUGGGGACGACGUCAAGUCAUCAUGGCCCUUACGAGUAGGGCUACACACGUGCUACAAUGGUACGUACAGAGGGAGGCAAGCUGGCGACAGUGAGCGGAUCUCUUAAAGCGUAUCGUAGUCCGGAUCGCAGUCUGCAACUCGACUGCGUGAAGUCGGAAUCGCUAGUAAUCGCAAAUCAGAAUGUUGCGGUGAAUACGUUCCCGGGCCUUGUACACACCGCCCGUCACACCAUGGGAGUGGGUUGCAAAAGAAGUAGGUAGCUUAACCUUCGGGAGGGCGCUUACCACUUUGUGAUUCAUGACUGGGGUGAAGUCGUAACAAGGUAACC
rnacentral:rRNA from 1 species